rnacentral:rRNA from 1 species
CCUACGGGUGGCAGCAGUAGGGAAUAUUGCUCAAUGGGGGAAAGCCUGAAGCAGCAACGCCGCGUGGGGGAUGAAGGUUUUAGGAUUGUAAACUCCUGUUGGUAGAGAAGAUGAUGACGGUAUCUAACGAAUAAGCACCGGCUAACUCCGUUCCAGCAGCCGCGGUAAUACGGAGGGUGCAAGCGUUACUCGGAAUGACGGGGCGUAAAGAGUGCGUAGGCGGGGUAAUAAGUCAGCUGUGAAAUCCUGUGGCUUAACUACAGAACUGCCUUUGAAACUGUUACUCUGGAGUGUGGGAGAGGUAGGUGGAAUUCUUGGUGUAGGGGUGAAAUCCGUAGAGAUCAAGAGGAAUACUCAUUGCGAAGGCGACCUGCUGGAACAUUACUGACGCUGAUGCACGAAAGCGUGGGGAGCAAACAGGAUUAGAUACCCCUGUAGUC